rnacentral:rRNA from 1 species
GAAGGCCUUCGGGUUGUAAAGAUCUGUCGACAGGGGACGAAUAAGCGAUGCGAAUAGUUUUGUGUAUGACGAGUACCUGUUUAGAAAGCUCCGGCUAACUACGUGCCAGCAACCGCGGUAAUACGUAGGGAGCAAGCGUUGUCCGGAAUUACUGGGCGUAAAGGGCGCGUAGGUGGGCGCUUAAGUCAGGUGUGAAAACUCCGGGCUCAACCUGGAGACUGCACUUGAAACUGGGUGUCUUGAGGGCAGGAGAGGAAAGUGGAAUUCCUAGUGUAGCGGUGAAAUGCGUAGAUAUUAGGAGGAACACCAGUGGCGAAGGCGACUUUCUGGACUGUACCUGACGCUGAGGCGCGAAAGCGUGGGUAGCGAACGGAAUUAGAUACCCCGGUGGUCCACGCCGUAAACGAUGAAUACUUAGGAGUAGGAGGGUAUCGACUCCUUCUGUGCCGCAGCAAACACAAUAAGGUAUUCCGCCUGGGGACUACGGUCGCAAGACUAAAACUCAAAGGAAUUGACGGGGACCCGCACAAGCGGUGGAGCAUGUGGUUUAAUUCGACGCAACGCGAAGAACCUUACCAGGGCUUGACAUCCCUCGCUACCUGCGGAAACGUGGGGUUCUGCCAGUUUACUGGCGGACGAGGAGACAGGUGGUGCAUGGUUGUCGUCAGCUCGUGUCGUGAGAUGUUGGGUUAAGUCCCGCAACGAGCGCAACCCCUACGUCCAGUUGCCAGCACGUUAAGGUGGGAACUCUGGAGGAACUGCCGGUGACAAACCGGAGGAAGGUGGGGAUGACGUCAAAUCACCAUGCCCUUUAUGUUCUGGGCUACACACGUGCUACAAUGGCCGGUACAGAGGGCGGCGAAGCCGCGAGGUGGAGCGAAUCCCAAAAAGCCGGUCUAAGUUCGGAUUGCAGGCUGCAACCCGCCUGCAUGAAGUCGUAAUCGCUAGUAAUCGCGAGUCAGCAUAUCGCGGUGAAUACGUUCCCGGGUCUUGCACUCACCGCCCGUCAC